UGUCACUGUAACAUAAUAUAAUAAUUAAUAUAUAUAUAAAUAAUAAAUAUAAUAUUAAUUCCUUCCUUCCUCUCUCUCUUACCUCUUUUUUUUUUUUUAUUCUGCUCCAGACGCUUGUAUUAAUUCGUUUGUUAAUAUUGCUAAUUGGCUACAUGUUGGCUCACGUAUAUCGCGCACUAGUAUUAUUAAAUUAAGUGUCAUCGUAAUAAUUCCGAUUAUUCUAUUCAUUUCAAUCAUUGUAUAAGGUACCUAUUUGUAGUUGUUCGUUUGCUAUGUACAUAUGGUUUGUUAAACACGUAGGCUCAUUAUGAAUGUUAUUUUUGUUUAGCACGUGUUGGAAUACGUGAUUGUCAUGUCUAAGUGAAUGGCGUAGCAUUAUUAGGUAUAGUAUACGUCUGGGCAUCCUUUCUUGAAUUGGCAUUAUUACUAAUUUACUAAUUUGGCAACUACUUAAUUAUUUGAAAUGUACAAUAAAAUUUAUCUUGACUCUCAAUGUUCUCUUAUCUGUAACAUGAUAAGAAUGAGAAGAUUUAAUGUAAUAUUUAUUAUAUUCGCGUAACUUCAUUCAUUUCUCUUGACAAUAUUAAAUGUCGUCUAGUUUUAUUUAUCGAUCGUAUUUGAUUUACUUUAUGUCUAUAUUUUAUUAAAAGUAUCUCGGCUACCAUUAUUAAAAUAAAAAAAAUAGAAUAGGUAUGAGUGAAGGUCUGUAGUAUCUUUAUUGUUUUGUUUGUCUUUCUCUUCUUGCAUAAGUUGUUCGAUUUCCUCUAUGGAUUUCGAGUAUUGUCCUAAGUCAGUUAAUUUUAUUACGGAGUUGGUAUGCGUGUUGCUACUACUGAUUUUUCUUUUUAAAGACGUGGGAAUUGUCGAGUUUGUUGUGAUACCUACAUCUGAGAUUAAAUCUUUGUAGUGUGUUGAAUUUAAAUGUCUACUUAAUGUUAACACUAUUUGUGGCGUGUAACCCCUGCAGUCUUCGUUUAGUGUUAGCACCCCAUUUCCAGUUAGUUGUAUAUUUAUUGCCUGGUCCCUGUUUUCGCAUGAGACAGCUACAUUGUCAGUUGUUUUUAUUGUAUAAAUCCAUGCAUUUUGAUAUUUUAGUCGGUGAUAAAUACUACGAGUAAUGUCAAGAUAGUGUAUGGGACAAGAUAUUGGUAUGCUUGACGGUUUUACGAACAAUUCGACUUCACACGGUAAUUCACUUGCCCCUAGUCUUAGUGGGGUUGUGUCUCGGGACAUAAAAUAUCCAUGUUUAUUUGUCGGCAUAACAUAAGAUGAUUCAUACACAAUGUAAAAUAAUAUUCAUGUGUUUUCGAAAUUGCUAUAUGUAUGAGUAUUCAGGUAUUAUGUGAAUAUAGUGAUCAUUUUUCACUACAGAAAGUGGUAUUACGUGAUACAAUGUUAAUUCUACUGAAAUUACUAAAGGUAUUAUUAUUUUGAAGAUUAAAGUUUCGUUUUUAUAAAUAAUAUUAAAUUUUGAUAUUUUACUUAAUUCGUACGGUGAUACCUGGUUUAAAUUAAACGGUAAGCUUUGUUCCUUAGGAACUACUAGAGAAAUAUCUUUUAACUGUUGUCUUAAUAUUCAUUAACGGCUAUUACGCUAGAAUGCAUUAUACCACCUUGUGCAGCAAUUAUUAUUUCACAUAUUGUGUCAGUUUCAAAACUUAGCUGUUGGAAUAAUAGAUUUAAUGUAUUUAUUUGUUCAUUGAUAUUAAUUCUAGCUUCUGCUAUAUCUAAAUUUAUUACUGUUUGAUUUACUGUAUCUGCCAUCCGAUUAUAUUAUAAUAUACUUAAUCUAUUUAUUUGAGUCUCCAUCUGAUUUGCCUCUUUAAAUGUAUUUGCUGUUGCUUUUAGUACGCUAGUUUGUUUUUCUAUUAUUUUUAAUAAAUUUUGUUGACUAGAUUGUUACUUUUCAAUUUGUCUAUCGUAUAGUUCCGCGUCAGUGUCAUCUUAUGUUCCAAAUAAUGUUUUUUGUACUCGUCCUAUUAAGUUUAUUGGGCCCCUCUUUUCCCGGUUAACUGUAUGUCUGUAUCUGUUUCAUCUAUCGAUUGCAACAUAUAAAAUUUUUUCCUAGAUUCUUCCUGUUCGAGACUAUUAGAUGUUAGUUUAAAGUUGUCACAAGUAAUUUUAAACAUACCUUCGUAUGCUAUUGUUAAGUCGUUACAUACAUUUAAAGUUUUUUUGUAAAAGUUCAUUGUGUCUUUAGUACGUUGAUUGAAAUUAUCUAAUUUCACAUAAAUCAGUAAUUUCCAGUCAGAGUUAGUUAAACGAAGUGGCCCUUGGUUUCAAAAUACAUCCCAUUCUCUUGGGUAAGCCUUAAAAUACGAUACGGUUUUGUUUGUGCCAACGCAAUCUGGAGCGUGAAGCAUGUAUUAUUAUAAUCCUAAAAAUUUAUUUUUAAUUACGCUUGUAUAUUAUUUUAAUUAAUUAACCUACUUAUUAUUUUUAAAUUUUAAUCUUAUAUAAUUUUUACAUUAAAAUUUAUUUUAUUUCAUUAAACUUCUUAACAUUAUUUUUAUGCACCGUUACGUGCCUCCUACCUCUUAAUAUUACAAUGUUUUCUCUAUCUAAUACGUCAGUUACUUCAUAGACACCUAUCCAUAAUGGAUUUAAUUUAUUUUUCUGUGUUUUGUCUCUUAACAAUAUUUCAUCCUUUACAUGUAUCUCUAUAGAGUUUUCAUUACUAUCAUAAAAUUGUUAAGAUUUUAUUUUUCUCUUUAUUAAAUUUUCUCUAACUAUCUUAUGCGAUUCUUGCAUUUUCUGUUUUAAAUCAAAAUAAUAAUUGUCAUAAUUAUAUCUAGGUUCUGGUUCGUGGGAUAAUUUUACUGGUAUUUCUAGGCGUCUCCCGAAUAAUAAAGAAUAUGACUGAUAGCCUGUUGAUGUAUGUUCGGUAGAAUUGUAUACAAAAAAUGCGUAAGGUAAAUACUCGUCCCAGUUGUUGAGUUUUUUGUCGACAUAGUGCCUUGGAUACUCUGUUAGCGUCCUAUGUGAUCUUUCUAGACUACCGUUUAUUUGUGGGUGAAAUGAGCUAGUAUUUAUUUUAUUUAUUUAUAAUAAUUUACAUACUUCGGUGAAUAUUUUACUUAGAAAAUCAGUGCCCUGAUCGGUUAAUAUUGUUUGUGGUAUGCCGUGUGUACAUACAAAAUUUGUUACAAUUGCUUCAGCAAUUGCAUUAGCUUGGUGAUUAGGUAAUACUAUCCCCAUUGAAUAUUUAGUUAAGUCAUCCUGCAAUGUUAAUAUAUAUGUAUUCCCUGAUAACGUAGUGACUGUGGCCUUACAAUGUCUAAAAAAUUUUUUCAAAUGGUUCGGAACUUGUUGAUGUAAUUAGCAUAGGUUGCUUUAUUUUUUUAUUUGUAACUUUUCCUUUCUGACAUGAUACGCAAUUUUUUAUGUAUUCUAUAACGUUUUCUUUUUAUCCUUUCCAGUUAAAUUGGUUUUUAUUUUCUUUAUUGUCCUGUGUAUACCGACGUACCCACCGAUUUUUGAAUCGUGGCAUUGUUUGAAUAUUAUUAAUUUUUCAUCAUCACUAAAUUCGAACUUAGAACAAAUAAUAAUUCUAUAUCAGUACUGCGGAAUACAUAACGAAUCAUGGCACGUACCUGCGCCCAUUCUAGUUUGUCCUUAAAUCCUAAUUUAUUCAUUGCUAAUUUAUUUAAUGAUUGAUCCUCACAGAACGUUUUUAGAUUUAAUAAUGUCAAAUAAAUAUUUUCGUACGUGGUUUUUUGUUAUUAUAAACAUUAUAUUAUACCUAUCCUUAUUUUUUAUAUAAUUAAUUUCACCAACAGCCUUACAUGGUGCUAAUAUUUGAUUGUUACAAAAUUUUAAAAUUUUGUUUUAAUUCAUAAUUUAUUUCUGACAUGAAGUUAUAUUGUUCUGUUAUUUCUGAUACUAUGUGAUAUUCUUCAGGUGCUUCUAAUAAAGUACCGAGCACUUUCUUUACGUUUUUAUUAGUAAUAAGUAAUAACUAAUAAGUUGUGGUUUCGAAUUUAUUUAAAAAUGCUGGGUAGCUUUCAUUUUUUAUUUCGGUUACCGUAUACAAUAUACAUUCUGCUUAACGCAUCUACAUUCGAAUUUUGUACGCCCGGUUUAUAUUUAAUUUCAUAAUUAUAUUCUUCUAAAAAUAUUCGGCAACGAGCGAGUUUCGAUACUGGGUCUUUUAGAUUAAAUAACCACGAAAGUGCGCGAUGAUCGCUUAAUAUAAUAAAGUUUCUACCAUAUAAAUACGGCCUAAAAAUUUUUACUGCGAAUAUUAUAGCAAAAAUUCGAGGUUCGGUUGUACUAUAAUUAUUUUCACUUUUAUUUAAUGUUCUCGGCGCAUAUGCAAUAGGUGAAUCUUGUGGUACUUCCCCUUGUGAUAGUAUUGCGCCUAGUGCUUUCUCACUUGCGUCAGUGGUAAUUAUAAAUGGUUUCGUAAAGUCUGGAUAUUGUAAUAUAGGUUCAGAGCAAAGCGAAUAUUUUAGACAGUCAAAUGGUUUUUGACAAUUGUCAUCCCAGUUAAAGGUAACUCCCUUCUUUAGUACGUUUGUUAUAUUGGUUUUGCUAUUAAUCUAUAUGACUUUAUAAAUUUUCUUUAGUAACCAGAGAGUCCAAGAAAUGAUUUAAUUUGUUUUACGGUAGUUGGUAUCGGAAUUUCUAAUACCGAUUUAAUUUUAUUCGGGUCGGGUUUAAUGCCGUGUUCACUAAUUAUGUGUCCUAUAGGUAUAAACAUUCUUGUUUUAAAAAUUCACAUUUGUCCGGCUGUAUUUUUAAAUUAUGUUUUUGUAACCUUUUUUUUUUAUUAUUAAGAAUAUGGGACCAAUACAACUUUACAAGUUGUGUAAUAGUAGUAUAAAUGAAAGCAAUUAAAAAUUAGAAUAAUAGACCAAUAGAUUAGGGAGCACCACAUAUAUAUAGUUAUGUAUAAAAAAAAAAAAAUAUAUAUUUUAUUUUAUGUAUCUUAAUUGUAAAACAAAAUUACAUAAUCACAUUGUAUUUUAGUUGUAAAACAAAUAUAUAAAUAUUAUAUUAUAUUGUUUAAAUUAAGACAUUAAUAAUCUUAUUUUGUCAGCAAUUAAUUUUUAUGUAACGUAUUAUAUUAAAUUAAAUUAAAUUGUAAAUUAGAAACGAAAAGACUAACAAAAAAAAAAAGAAAAAAAUUAAUGUUAUAAAAAAAAAAUAAUAUAUUUUGUAAAUCACUAACACUAGUAUUAAGAAAUCUUAUAUGUAAUUAGUAUUUUAGACUUCUGUUAAAGAUUUAAACAUAAAUCUUUUUUUUAGUAGGGUGGUGUUACGGACCUAUACUGUCCGUAGAAAUUAUUUUAUGCGCAUAAGAUCGUACAAUGUCAAUUUUCCAUAACUUAUAAUUAAUACUAUACAGGAAUACGAGUACAGGACACGAGAGUGUGGAAUAUUAUAUUAGUAUAUUAAUUUAACAAUUAAAGUAAAACCACACGUCUCUUUAUAAAAAGUCAAAACUCGUUGUCACUGCGAUUCGAUAAGAAUCAUGGGUAAGAAUACACAAGCAGUGUUUUCGGGACCUGUCCUCUCGUAUGACGGUCGACGGAGUCGCCACCCACUCUAUGUAAGAAAUCACAUAUAAAAGGGAGACCGAGACAAGAGCUCGGCAGACGGUUACAGUAUAACAGACGGUUAUAUAUAUGACACUCAGAGGUCGGUCGUAAAACCACUCAAGUCUUGAUAUCAGUAUUUCAGAGGUCGAUCGUAACACCACUCACCAUCUUACUAUAUAUAAUUUAAUCUUAAGCUUAUAACAACUGUAUUUGUGCAAGAAAUAUUUUAAUAAACGUUAACUUAUACUUGAACAACA